rfam:Ictidomys tridecemlineatus contig086344, whole genome shotgun sequence.
UGGGAUUAUCAAGUGUAACAGCAACUCCAUGUGGACUGUGUAUGAAUUUCCAGUGGAGAUGCUGUUACUUUUGAUGGUCAC